GCCCUGGUAGUGUAGUCCGGCCUAUCAUGCAGCCCUGUCACGGCUGCGACCCGGGUUCAAAUCCCGGCCAGGGCG
rnacentral:tRNA from 1 species